GCGCUCACCUACCUUCUCUAACGUUCCAUUCUAAUCUGUUUUUCUCCGCCCACCUCACUUACUCUUCUUUCUCUUUCGCUGGCAAUUCUGGUCGACGAAAUCCCUUUUGGCUUUAUAUAUUCACAGUCAACAAUGGCGGGUUGAUUUAAAAUUAUCCUCUUUCGCCGGCUUCACUAUAUUCCUACCUGCUACUUAGUUGCAGCGAUGUCGGGGAAGAUUGUCCAAAAUGUUUUUGUAGCACAGAAUAGGCUGUUCGGGACCCAAUACCGAAGGGACUGUUGUGCCCCUUAUACCCACAACUCGCUUCCCUUCUGUGGAGGGAAGUUGGCAUGGACUAGCUUAUCCUCCAUGCAAAUGCAUACCUUACCAAAAUACCAGAGGGGUUUUGUUAACCGAGGAACUGUAUACUGCAAUGCUGCUUCAUCUACAACUGCCGUGCCAUAUCUCGACAAAGUUGAUUUCCUGAAGCUUCAAAAUGGCAGUGAUAUUAGAGGGGUGGCUGUUUCUGGUGUUGAGGGUGAACCUAUUACCCUUACCGAACCAGUUACCGAGGCAAUAGCAGCUGGCUUUGCAGCAUGGUUAUUGGAAAAGAAAAAGGCCGAUGUGCAUCGGCCUUUGAGAGUUUCCAUUGGUCAUGAUUCCCGGAUAUCUGCACAAAUGCUACAGGAUGCUGUUUCUCAAGGUAUUGCUGGUGCAGGCCUGGUUGUUAUUCAGUAUGGAUUGGCAUCCACCCCAGCAAUGUUUAAUAGCACACUCACUGUAGAUGAAGCAUUUUUAUGUCCAGUUGAUGGGGCUAUAAUGAUAACAGCUAGUCAUCUUCCUUACAAUCGGAAUGGUUUCAAAUUCUUCACCAAUGAUGGAGGGCUUGGGAAGGCUGACAU
rnacentral:misc_RNA from 1 species